CUAAAAAUGCUACUAAACGUCAAAACAUCGUCGAUUUAAUGUUUUAUUUAAAAAAAGAAAUCAAAUUUUGCAAUUAGUAAACCUAAGCCUAAACCUAUAGUCCCAUCCCCACACAUUAGAGAAGAGAGGCUCGAAAAUAGCUAGCCCUAGUAGCCACUCAUCACUGCCUUCCCUAUCGUUGAACUACUUUCCAUUGACCAGAGGGUGCUAUCGUACUAGCGUUGUCACAGAAGCCUCACGUCUCCACCAGACUAGCCUUACUGUAUCCUCCCACUACUUCUCCCUUGGCGUUGCUCACGUUCACUGAACCGUCUCUCUCUCUCUCUCUCUCUCUCUCGUCAGAAAUCGAAGUUUUACAAAUUUGACAAGGAACGGAACCGAUGGAAGGAGAGAACCACAGGUACCGUCAAGUUUCCGAAGAACAAGGUUACUAGCAAGAACAAAAUCAUUGCUGAGUGUGGUUCUUUAGCUGUAAGCACUCCAAAUCAUUGAAAAAGCCUCAGGUGCCUUCUUCCCGUAUUUGCAAAACUUCUCUCAAGAGCUUCAAAAGCUUGAGGAGUAUUGCAUGAACCAGAAAUCCAUUGAUUCGACGGAAAUGGUGGAAAUGGAAUGUCAGAGAUGGGCGAGCAAAGGGAUAAACAUAACGUACCAAAUAAGAGAGAACAGAAUGGGGUACAAAGUGGGUGCAUUAAACACAAUUUGAUCAUCUGGACACAGGCAUCCUGCACAGGCACACACUUGCUCUCACACUCAUUCACUCAUGGGAAGAAUUUCUAUCAGUUUGUGCUCAAUAACACUGCUAUUUUCAAUUAUAAUUGUAGUUAUACUCAACAUGCUUUAUUGUUGUUGUUUACUUCUUGUUAGCGAGAUAAAUUUUACCAUGAAAGCACUAUCAGAAACUUACUGAUCAGUUUUGCUCCUUUGUCCAUGAUAUACAUUUCAUGACAAUUUUCAUUUAUAAGGUUAUAUAACCUAUGGCCAUAUCAUAGUUGCUUGUUAUUUUACUAUGCAAUUUGACCAUAACCUAAGUAGUCCUGGUAGCAAAUUGAGUUCAAAGUUGGACUUCAUGCUGAGUUCUGUGUUGAAGUGGAAUUUGAUUAGCAUCACUUGAAAGGAAAAGAACAGAAUACAAGGCACUCUUUUUUUAUUGAUUUAAGCAUCCAUCACUCUAACAUAUGUUGUCAGUUUGUCACAUUAAAAUAUUGGUCUUCUAUUUUAUGUUGUUUGUUAUUCCCUUUAAGGUAUUUACAGACAUAUUUUAGUUUGUAAAUCCACUUCACAUUGCAUAUGCAUCAUUCUGGCCGUUUCAAUCAUUAGCUUGACUUAUUUACAAGCAACUUUUAGUAUUAUUAUUAUUGAAUGGUAACCUUUCGAUGGCUUGAAGUGUCGCUUACAACUGUUCUACUAUGUCUACGGAGUAAUUAUUUAUUUUAUCCACCAUCACCUAACCCCAAUCCCUAACUAUAAUUAAAUCACACUACUACUACUACAUCUAUAACUUAAUUAUUAUCAAAUCUAAUGUUGUGUAAUGUAUUGAUGCCUUUCUUGUUUGGAUUGCAAUUUUGGGAGUGAUUCUAUUUUUGUCUCUAAGGACAUUUAGAAGUUCAAGCAAUUCUACAUUUGGGAAUGUUAUGA